rnacentral:rRNA from 1 species
GAUGAACGCUGGCGGCGUGCCUAAUACAUGCAAGUCGAGCGAACAGACGAGGAGCUUGCUCCUCUGACGUUAGCGGCGGACGGGUGAGUAACACGUGGAUAACCUACCUAUAAGACUGGGAUAACUUCGGGAAACCGGAGCUAAUACCGGAUAAUAUUUUGAACCGCAUGGUUCAAUAGUGAAAGACGGUUUUGCUGUCACUUAUAGAUGGAUCCGCGCUGCAUUAGCUAGUUGGUAAGGUAACGGCUUACCAAGGCGACGAUGCGUAGCCGACCUGAGAGGGUGAUCGGCCACACUGGAACUGAGACACGGUCCAGACUCCUACGGGAGGCAGCAGUAGGGAAUCUUCCGCAAUGGGCGAAAGCCUGACGGAGCAACGCCGCGUGAGUGAUGAAGGUCUUCGGAUCGUAAAACUCUGUUAUUAGGGAAGAACAAAUGUGUAAGUAACUGUGCACGUCUUGACGGUACCUAAUCAGAAAGCCACGGCUAACUACGUG